rnacentral:rRNA from 1 species
GCCCAAGAGAUCGGGAUAACACCUGGAAACAGAUGCUAAUACCGGAUAACAACAGAUGAUGCCUAUCAACUGUUUAAAAGAUGGUUCUGCUAUCGCUCUUGGAUGGACCUGCGGUGCAUUAGCUAGUUGGUAGGGUAACGGCCUACCAAGGCGAUGAUGCAUAGCCGAGUUGAGAGACUGAUCGGCCACAUUGGGACUGAGACACGGCCCAAACUCCUACGGGAGGCAGCAGCC